UACGGAGGAUGCAAGCGUUAUCCGGAUUUAUUGGGUUUAAAGGGUGCGCAGGCGGAGUAGUAAGUCAGUGGUGAAAACCUGCAGCUUAACUGUAGAAUUGCCGUUGAUACUGCUGCUCUUGAGUGUGGUCAAGGUAGGCGGAAUGUGUAAUGUAGCGGUGAAAUGCUUAGAUAUUACACAGAACACCGAUUGCGAAGGCAGCUUACUGGGCCAUUACUGACGCUCAUGCACGAAAGCGUGGGGAUCGAACAGG
rnacentral:rRNA from 2 species